CCAGUUCUACCUAAACGAUGUCGACCGGCAAUCUGCUCUCGUUAAAUUAAUGACUGAGCAGGCGGCCUGCUGGAAACAAGAGUAUUUGGAUUCCAGGGGGAGUAUGGUUGCAAAGCUGAAACUUAAAAGAAUUGACGGAAGGGCACCACCAGGAGUGGAGCCUGCGGCUUAAUUUGACUCAACACGGGAAAUCUCACCAGGCCCGGACACCGGAAGGAUUGACAGAUUGAGAGCUCUUUCUUGAUUCGGUGGGUGGUGGUGCAUGGCCGUUCUUAGUUGGUGGAGCGAUUUGUCUGGUUAAUUCCGAUAACGAACGAGACUCUGGCCUACUAAAUAGUCGUCAAAUCUCUUGUAGGUUUGUCGUAUGCUUCUUAGAGGGACGGGCGGCGUUUAGCCGCACGAGAAUGAGCAAUAACAGGUCUGUGAUGCCCUUAGAUGUUCUGGGCCGCACGCGCGCUACACUGAAGAAAUCAGCGUGUGUUCCUCAUCCGAAAGGAUUGGGUAACCCGUUGAACCUUCUUCGUGAUGGGGAUUGGGGAUUGCAAUUAUUCCCCAUGAACGAGGAAUUCCCAGUAGGCGCGAGUCAUCAGCUUGCGUCGAUUACGUCCCUGCCCUUUGUACACACCGCCCGUCGCUACUACCGAUCGAGUGAUUUAGUGAGGACUCCGGGACUGGUCUCUGAUGCAGCUCUCGGGUUGUGUUGGUGUACUGGAAAGUUGUCAAACUUGAUUACUUAGAGGAGUAAAGUCGUACAGUUUCGGUAGUGACUGCCGAGAUCAGGCGAUCGCGCGCUAUUCAUCGCCUAUAGUGAGUCGAUCUCGUGGGGGCGUUUUUUUAUUAAAA
rnacentral:rRNA from 1 species